rnacentral:misc_RNA from 1 species
UGGUUCUGGCAUNGAUGAAGAACGCAGCGAAAUGCGAUAAGUAAUGUGAAUUGCAGAAUUCAGUGAAUCAUCGAAUCUUUGAACGCACAUUGCGCCCUUUGGUAUUCCGAGGGGCAUGCCUGUUCGAGCGUCAUUAUAACCACUCAAGCCUUGGCUUGGUAUUGGGGUUCGCGGUUUCGCGGCUCUUAAAAUCAGUGGCGGUGCCGUCUGGCUCUAAGCGUAGUAAUUUUUCUCGCUAUAGGGUCCCGGUGGUGGCUUGCCAAAACCCCCCCCUUAUUUUCCUACGGUUGACCUCGGAUCAGGUAGGGAUACCCGCUGA